GGAGAGAAAAUAGAUUGCUUAGUACUUUAGCCUUUGUGUUAAUCUUCAGCUUCUCCAGCAUAUUAACUAAAUGGGUCCAGUCGAGUGGGCAUUUCCUCAUUCAGCAACCUGUCGAGGCAAGAAAUAAUGAGCAAACUGCCUGCAAUCUUCCACUUGUUAGAAUCAUGGAGUGAAUCUUCACAUCUUUGUGUCAGCCAAUGAGUUGGAGGCCAGCUAGCAGUCUUUGGAAGUUAUUGAAACUACUGAACAACCUGACAACAUCAUAACCUACGAUGGCAAGCUGUGAAAAGAUGGUGAUAGAGAAAAGAUUACCUCUACUGGAUAGUUCCCAGAAGCUUACAGAUGGAAGAGGCUGCAGGUCUGGGAGUUGCUGUCAGAGGAACCUUGCCUUUGCCCUCCAUGCCAUCGUGACCAGUAUUCACCAUGGACAAACAUGAGGAACCAUGCUGACAGCAAAUGAAAUAAAGUCUGAAGUAGAUCACUACUGCCAGACUGGAGUGGUCUCUGGUGGAUGGGAACAACUUCAAGAAUCAGGUAAAGUUCAGAAUUUGUGUUUUAUUGCACCACAGCUCUCUAUACAAGUUACACAUGAGCUUCCAUGUCUCUUCCUAGGCCCAUUGCUAUAAAUAACUAUGUCUAAAAUUCCAAA